AGAGUUUGAUCCUGGCUCAGGAUGAACGCUGGCGGCGUGCCUAAUACAUGCAAGUCGAACGAAUCUUCUUCGGAAGAUGAGUGGCGAACGGGUGAGUAAUACAUAGGUAACCUGCCCCUGUGCGGGGGAUAACAGGAGGAAACUCCUGCUAAUACCGCAUAGCCAUGAGCACCGCAUGGAGCUCAUGCCAAAUAUCCUUCACGGGAUAGCGCAGGGAUGGACCUAUGGCGCAUUAGCUAGUUGGCGGGGCAACGGCCCACCAAGGCAACGAUGCGUAGCCGGCCUGAGAGGGCGGACGGCCACAUUGGGACUGAGACACGGCCCAGACUCCUACGGGAGGCAGCAGUAGGGAAUUUUCGGCAAUGGGGGAAACCCUGACCGAGCAACGCCGCGUGAGCGAAGAAGGCCUUCGGGUCGUAAAGCUCUGUUGUAAAGGAAGAACGUCGGACACAGGAAAUGGUGUGCGAGUGACGGUACUUUACCAGAAAGCCACGGCUAACUACGUGCCAGCAGCCGCGGUAAUACGUAGGUGGCGAGCGUUAUCCGGAAUCAUUGGGCGUAAAGAGGGAGCAGGCGGCCGCAAGGGUCUGUGGUGAAAGACCGAAGCUAAACUUCGGUAAGCCAUGGAAACCGGGCGGCUAGAGUGCGGAAGAGGAUCGUGGAAUUCCAUGUGUAGCGGUGAAAUGCGUAGAUAUAUGGAGGAACACCAGUGGCGAAGGCGACGGUCUGGGCCGCAACUGACGCUCAUUCCCGAAAGCGUGGGGAGCAAAUAGGAUUAGAUACCCUAGUAGUCCACGCCGUAAACGAUGGUCACUAAGUGUCGGGGGUCAAACCCCGGUGCUGCAGUCAACGCAAUAAGUGACCCGCCUGAGUAGUACGUUCGCAAGAAUGAAACUCAA
rnacentral:rRNA from 1 species